AGUCAAACAGGAUACCUCAUUUUACCUAACAGUAGAAAAUGACUCUCCCAGCACAGCUUUAUGCCAGCCUCAAAUUGCCAGUGCUCAGAGUGAUGGGGAAGUGACAGCAAUGAAGAGGUAUGGACUGGCAAAACUAACAGCAGCAAAGAGAGGACAUUUUAUGGCAGUAAAAAUGCAACUUUCAAUAUCUACCAUUCUGCCUAUUCAUAUUAUGCUCAUCUGAAAACAAAUGUACAUAAAUAACUUUGUGCCAUGUACAUCUUUGAACAAGCUCUCCAUUUUGAAAAGAAGACUUUCAAGAGGUUAAUUGACCUCUUUCUUGAAAGGAAUCUGAACAAACCUCUUACCUGGAACAAGUCUCAACAGAUUAAAUACUUUCUUGCUCUUGGUGGUUUUAUUUUUUUAUUUUUUGACUGAAUCAUUUGUUGUCUUUAGUCAUAAAGACUGUUUCACGCUUGCAGUGAUGAAUAUUAAAACACAGUCAAAAGACA